GUGCUUGCUUUGGCAGAACAUAUACUAAAAUUGGAACGAAACAGAGACGAUUAGCAUGGCCCCUGCACAAGGAUGACACACAAAUUUAUGAAGCAUUCCAUAUUUUU
ensembl:snRNA U6 U6 spliceosomal RNA